UUUAAAUGGCCGCAGUAUACUAACUGUGCAAAGGUAGCAUAAUCAUUAGUCUUUUAAUUGAAGGCUGGUAUGAAUGGUUGGACGAGAUAUUAACUGUUUCAUAAAAAUUUAUAUUAGAAUUUUAUUUUUUAGUCAAAAAGCUAAAAUUUAUUUAAAAGACGAGAAGACCCUAUAAAUCUUUAUAUUUAAAUUAUUGUAAUUUUAUAGAUUAUUUUUCUUACAAUAAUUGAUGAUAUUUUAUUGGGGUGAUAUUAAAAUUUAAUAAACUUUUAAUUAUUUAAGUCAUUAAUUUAUGAGUAAUUGAUCCGUUAUUAACGAUUAAAAAAAUAAGUUACUUUAGGGAUAACAGCGUAAUUUUUUUAGAGAGUUCUUAUCGAUAAAAAAGAUUGCGACCUCGAUGUUGGAUUAAGAUAUAAUUUUAGGUGUAGUAGCUUAAAUUUUAAGUCUGUUCGACUUUUAA
rnacentral:rRNA from 1 species